rnacentral:lncRNA from 10 species
GUGGGGCACUGGGGACAGAGGCAGAGUGUCUCGAUGGCCUCUGCUGGCAUGUGGUGCCUGGCAUGUUGUAGGCAGUCAGCAAACAGUUCCUGAAUGAAUGAAUAAAUGACUGGAUGGAUAAGUGAAUGAAUGAAAGGGUUGGCAGGAUGCCCUGGUUCCCACGGGGCUGGGAUGCUCACGUUUGCCCCGUAUCCCAAGAGAGAACACUGUGUCCAGAGGGAGGUGGUGGAGCUGGCAUGGACACAGGGCUGGCUGGCGGCCACCCGCGGCCAGGAGCAGGACUGGGGAGGCCAGGCGCUGCUUGGAUCAGCCUUGGAGCCCCUAUGGGCACUCCGGUUCUCCAGGCAACAGCUUCCAGUCCUUUAGCCCCUCAUGUCACGGUUUAACACACACACAAGCCCCAAAAGAGGCCCCCCACUGCACCCCUCAACGUCCUCUCUGUGCAGCUUUUCCCAGCCCUUCACAUCUGCAGGAGACUCAGUCCUGAGAGGCCAGGCCGGGAUGGGCGGGGGCUAAGAAGGGAGGGAGGAACCAAGGUUUCUCCUCCAGCCCAGGGAGCCAGGGGCUGGCAUUCUGUGUCCAGGACUUCGGGCCCUCUGUGAGCCUCUGUCCGCCAAGGCGAUGGAGCUGUGUUUGGAGUCCCUCGUCUUUGGCAGCGGCUGGGGCCAAAGCCCGGGCAAGACCAACGCCUUCGGCACCCGGACUCAGGCUCCGUCCUCUCUGCCAGCGUGCGGCUACAAUGACUCGACAUGGCAGGUGGGCAAGCACAGCACGCCCCAACAGACAUGCUUUAUUUAAUAUGUACUAAAAAUACAGCAGGCCUGUGAAACCCACAGGUGCAAUUGCUUAAAAUGAGGCUAAGGUAGACGUGUGAAUGGUUAAUAAUGAGUUGAUUAAAAUAUUCAGAAAUCAUCUACUGGAGACGGGCAAACUGCAAAAUGGUAGCAUGGGAGCAACUGAUGUUCGAGAAAGCCCAGGCUCCGGCAAGCCGUGGGUUUGAAUUUACACAUGCGCACAUAAUGGGUAUGAAUAAACCUUUCUUCAAAAAAACCAGAUCAAGUCAAGGCAGUUAUUUGCUGUGGGCAGGUGCCAAGGCUGGCUGCUUCAGUCCCCACGCGAGUCGCCCCCGAGCCUGCUUCUGCAGCCCAGCCUGGAAAGUGCAAGGCACUUGGAAAGGAGCCACGCCCAACGCCCUGUACCAGCGGCCUCCCGGACACCAACAGCGUCCUCUGCGCCUGCUGCAGCUUGUCCCUUAGUCCUCCCUGGACAGAGGGCGUGAAGUUGGCUGCGCCAACAGGACGCGGCCCGCUCACUUCGGGGCUCAUUGUCCUGGACACACAGUCAGGGCUGGACGCCUCCAGCAGCCCCACGCUUCACCCCAAGGUCCGCAAACCUGACAACUUCGGAGGCCACUGCCUUCAGAGAAGGUGACAGAGGGCCAUGUCUGAAACAUUCUCCCACAACCAGGAACCCUCAGCAGCCGCUGAAGAGGAAAGGCAGUUAAAUGGAAAGACUUCUGAGCAAGUGGAGGAAAAGUCACGUGUGACCUAGGGAGGGGCUCCCACAGGAAGGGGCAAUGCCCUUGCCCUGUUCACCUAGCCUCCAGGUGGCUUCCCACUUGAAAUUUCAGAGGAUGGCAGAAACCUACUUACAAGGAAAUGAAAGAGGGCACAGCAACCUUAAGACCAGAGCAGCCCACGAUAUUUUUUAAUGAGGGCAAAAAUAGAAGACUUGCAAAAGACCCCUGAAAAUAAUGCCUGGAAGCUGCGAAACAUCAGACUGACACCGCACAAAAGAGGUCCAGCUGAGCAGGAGAAAAGCUUGAGAAGCAUCCAGAACAAUGUAGGUGGAGAGGCUAAGAAGAAAGAGGAGCCCACAUGGAAUGAAUAACCAAGGUCGGGACAGAGGAAGGUUCGCCAGAACUGGGAGGGCUGAAAUUGGACAUUGAGAUAAAUUAAAGAGUGUUCUUUAAAACUGUCAAGACUUUGGCUGGUCAAUAAGUAAACUGCAAACGAGUGUUCCUAAACCACAGCAGCAAUGCUCCCUGGAGGAGGGAAGGAGGCCGGGGCUGCCACUCUCCCAGGUGGCUGCGUCCCGGCCUUUGCCAUUGAUGUGUGCUUUCUCCAGGCUCACAGAUGUCCCUGGGCCGGUUGCAUCUGUGACCAGGACUCUGCCACCUGCCUGUGGCUUGCUGAUCAGCUGGUCACCCAGGAAUGUUAGGGAUGAACAGAGACCUAGAACUCAGGCUCCAUGGAUCUGGCAGCACCAGGAGACGAGGUUUCAAAUCUCAUGGCUGGGCCAGCCAGCCAGGUGCCCUGGAACUGUUGUGAUCCCUGCUCCUUGCCGGGCUUAGCCUCCUCUUACUUCAGCCCAGAAGUCCCCGAGUACCCACUCAACAAAUGCCAUCCCUUUAAUUUCUGUGGCCUGCUGCCAUCACGGCUCGCCUAAUUCAUUCCCUCCACACCCUAAGUGUCCACGGAAGUGGCUGAAACAGUAAAACCACAGAGGAGCAUUCAUUCCAGUCCCCAAGGCAAGCCCCCUCCUUUGCACCCUGCUGUUUGGUUGAUUUCUUCUUUCUCCACUUCCCAGGAUGUGGAGCAGAUUCCCUGUGGCAUGAUUACCUGAGGCCAGGUACAGACUGGCUCCAGGGAAGCACAGGGCUGGGGUCCCAGUUCCCACACCGGGCCAUUCAUUAACAGGUGGGAAGAGUUCCACCACUUCUGAGGAAUUAGCAGGCUCCAGGUGACCCUAUGUCACCCCAAGUGACUCUCCAUUCCCCACAGACUCAGCCACAGGGCCAACAGUUUCUAUUGCUAUCUUUCCCUCCAGAAAACCCCUGGGCCAUCUCGCCUGCCCAGCUCCUGCUGCUCCCCACGGGAGGGCUACAGUUAAAGAAGGGAAAGUGGCUAAUUCACUAAGUAAUUAACUUAAGGAGUGUCUAUUGAACAUCUACUGUGUGCAAGAUGCUGUUCUAGAUUUGAGAUACAAAACAGGGAAAGAGAAGGCCCUGCUCUCACGGAUGGGCAUUAGAAGAGUGGGGUUGAUAAACACGAGGAUCAGUGAAGAGCAUUCCAGGCAGGAAUAAGCACUGCAGAGGAAGGAGGAUGAGAUGAGAAGGGAGAGCGAGCGAGCAGCAGUGGGGGAGGUGUCCAUGGGGUUGAGUCUGGACGAGGGGAGGGAAGCAGCCAGUGCUUAGCAGGAAGACAGGGCAGGGGUGCAGCUCCCAGAAGGAGACAAAGAGGACCUUUCGAAGGUCUGCAGGUGGCAGGAGGGGCAGAGGAGGCUGGACCCAGGUAAGAAGUCAUUGCAGGGGUCCAAGCCAGGAGAGGACAAAUCUGAUGGAGGUUUAAAAGGCUCAGUUGUCUGCCUGGUGGAGAAGAGACGAAGGGGCAGAGGGGGAAAAAGUGAUGGACUAAGGAUAGAUUUUGGAGGCAGAGCAAACAGGAGAGCAUGAAAGAAACAGAGAAUCAAAGAUGAUGUUUAGGCCAGGGGCGGUGGCUCAUGCCUCUAGUCCCAGCACUUUCGGAGGCUGAGGUGAGAGGAUCGCUUAAGCCCAGGAGUUCAAGACCAGCCUGGGCAACAUAGCAAGACUGCAUCUCUAAAAAAAAAAAAAAAAAAAAAUUAGCCAGGUGUGGUGGUGCACACUUGUAGUCUCAGCUACUUGGGAGGCUGAAGUGGGAGAAUCGCUUGAGCUGGGUAUGUUGAGGGUACAAUGAGCCAUGAUUGUGCCACUGCACUCUAGCAGUGGAUGACAGAGUGAGGCCCUGUCUCAAAAAGAAAAGAUGAUGAGUUAUUGGUUUGGGACCAUUUUCUGACCUAGGGAAGACAGAGGAGAAGCUGGCUUGUGGGUGGGUGGUAUCUGGAGCUCCGUUUUGGCCAGGUUACAUUCCAGGAGCCUCCUCGGGGUCUGGGAGGAGCUGUGGAGAACCCAGACAUGUCUGUAGGGGUGAAGCAUUUCUGGCCUGUGUAAGCACACACCUGGUGGCCACAGGGCCUGGGCUGUCUGAGAGAGGUCUGGUUUGAGAUGUGUCAACGUCGGACUCUAAAUGCCUCUCACCCCAGGGCUCAGGUAGCCCCUUCCAUGCCUGUCCAGAAGACCCUGCAGAAAGUGCUCAUGGUGGUGCCAUCUCACCUGCAGUAUUUGUUCCUAAAUCAGCACAAGUCGGAUCCUAGCAAGGGCCAUGGAAUAUGCUUAGAGGGUGACACAUACACUGCCACUGCCUGUUUCUAUUCAUGAACUCACUUUCGAAAGUGUCCCAUUCUGAGAUAAUUUUAGACUUAUAGAAGAAUUGCGAAAGCAGCCUCCCCACCCCCAGCCUCUUCUCAUGCCGGCAUUCCAUGAAUCAGAGUGCGAUUAUGAGAGCUGAGACUCACCUCGCCGUGGUCUCGAGAGCUGGACGGCAGGCAGGCCCCUCCCAGUGCCCUCCUCUGUUCCCAGCUCCCACGUGCAUUUGGCUGUCACCUUUCUCUGUCUCCUUUCUGUGUCAGGGCCGGCUUUUUAAGAGGAUGGGUCUGUCGCUCUUGGACAGUCUCUCCGCCUAGGUCUGCCUGACGCCUUCUCUGCAUUGGACUGAGACAUGGGGCGUCACUAUGUUGCCCAAGCUAGUCUCAAACUCCUGGACUCAAGUGAUCCUCCCACCUUGGUCAUCCAAAGCGCUGGGACUACAAGCAUGAGCCACCGCGCCCAGCCAGAACCUGAGUAUUCAAUGUUUCCAUAAAUGGAUUUCACUGAGUGCUCUCAACCCUGGAGACGGCAGAACCAAGUCUCUCUACACCCUUUCCCAGCAAGGGGCCAGGGCCACAGAGGAAGAAUCGCCCCUGAACUCUCAGAAUCCUAAAGCUUCAAUGGUUCUGGAAAUCAGAAGUCCCAGAAUGAAGGUGCCAUCGGUGGCGCUGGUUCCUCCUGGAGGCUCUAAGGGAAACUCCGUCUCCUGUGCUUCCCCAGCUUCCAGAGGUGACCUGCAUUCCCCAGCUCCUUGCCCCCUCUUCCAUCCUCAGAGCCACAGCUUGGCAUCCUCCAGUCUCUGUCUCUGACCUCUUCUUCGGUCCUCGUUCCUCCUACUGCCCCUCGCAUAAGGACCCUUGUGAUUACGCUGGAUCCACCAGAUAACCCAGGAUCCUCCCCCCAUCUCCAGACCCUUAACUUAAUCACAUCCACGAAGGAAGUCCCUGCUGCCUUGUAAAGUAACAUCUUCCCAGGUUCUGGGGAUUCAUAUGUGGACAGCUUUGAGGAGCCACUCAAUUGUGAAGGUCCACCAUAGUACCUUCAUAACUUCAAAUCAUAGGUUUAAACCUCUGUAUCUUAUCCCAUCCAUUUCAGUGUAGCUCUUGCCUGCCCACGCCAUUUGCUUGAUAAAUAUUUGUUCUGGGAGCUAGGUUUGCACAACUGAUCAAGCCAGGCAAAGCCUUAUUUUCCCAAAGCCUAUAUUCCAGUGGGGAAAGACAGGCAAUACAUGGGAUAAAUGAAUAAAUGAUAUUCUCAGCACAAUUGCUUUUUGGAGGAUAACUUGGUAAAAUUUAUGAAAAUUUAAAUUGUGCCUGUUCUCUGACUCUGCAAGCCUGCUGUUAAAAAUUCAUAUAUAAUGAUAUGUGUACAAGCCUGUUCUUUUUUUUUUUUUAAUGAAAUAAUUUUUAUUUGCUGUGAUUAUACAUAUUGACAUUUGCACACUUUUUAAAACUUUUUAUUUGGAAAAAAUUUAAAUUUUAUAGAUAAGUUGCAAAUAUAAAAAGAGUGUAAAGAAUACCCAUACACCCUUUUCCCAGAAAGACUUAUUGUUAGCAUUUCACACAAUUGGCUUUUUGGUUUCUUUCUUUCCCCACCCACCUCACCCCAUGGUUCUCUCUCUCCAUACAUGUUACAUACACAUAAUUAUAUACUUAAUUUUUUUCUUAGUAAAUUGAAGGUGUCACAUACAUGAUGGCCCUUUACUCCAAACAUCAGUGCAUAUUUCCUAAGAAUGUAGAUAUUCUCUUACUUAGCCCCAGUAGUUAUAUAUAUAUAUAUAUAUAUAUAUA